rnacentral:lncRNA from 1 species
GUUUUAAUUUCAUCAUUCGCCGCCUGAAGAGACAAGAUGGUGGAGCUUGCGAAAUCGAAAAUUGGUACUUGAAAGUCAAUGGUUGAUCAUGAUGACCAUCUUUAAUUUAAUGGGGAAAGAUUAACCAAUAUUUGCAGCUGGAGAGGCUAUCACCACAGUUCAAUGAUUUAGUUAAGACAAUGAAAUAGAAGAACUUCAUGCUAACACUUGCAUCAGUGGAAGUACUUCUUAUUGGAUAGAGAACUUUACAAGGUCAGUGAUAUUUGUAAUGUUUUAUAUCAAUAUUUUGUUUUGCCUUUUUAAACUCAUCUUAAUGGAGCUGUGAACUGCAUAGGUGGAUUAUCCAUCAUACACAAUGUUUAGCUCGACUACUCAACCUGGCAUAAGCAUUGGUUCAAGUUUAUUUCUUAAGUUAAAUAUAUUUUAGCUUUCAAAAGAUACUGUAUGCACAUGUUUUGACAAGGGACACUGUCAGCAAUAUUUUCAGAGUGAUGCCCCAUUUUUAUUUAGAAAUUU